rnacentral:lncRNA from 1 species
UUGUGACUGGAAUGAAAAUUAGAAUUGUAAUGGAGAAUUAAAUCUUUAAGAGAAAGCCGAGAUUGAGUUUUAGUGACAUUGGGCUAUUUUCAUUCUAUUUUGGAAUUAAAAUCGAUAUGGGACUGCUCCUAACCAAACAGAUGGAAUGAAAAUCAUCUAUUUCUAUUCCAUUCUAGGCCCAACUCCCUCUGAUGUAACACCCC